AUGUUUCUAGUGAGGUCACGUGAUCAGGUGGUCAAAGAAAAUCAUUCCAAGAGGCCAGCAGUAGAUUGACGCGCUCAACCGCCCGAGAGGGGUUGGGAAAUUUAUCUCGGAAGAUAAUAUGAUUCCUCUCUGUCCAGACGACCCACCAGACUGCCGCUAAAACUGUUAGACCUGUAGUUCUAUUUGAAACAUCGCGAAUAUUAGAAACCGUAGACCAGAGAACCCGGACGUCAUCGGGGAGUGACGUGAGGACUGCCGAACUGUCCG
rnacentral:lncRNA from 1 species